ensembl:lncRNA B3GALT5-AS1 B3GALT5 antisense RNA 1
CAGAUGUUUUUAAAAAGAGAUGCUAAGCAAAAGGCCUGAUUAUGAGGAAUGAGCCAAAGUCAUGCAAGGCGUGGGGCGCUAUGGGACUGCGCAGUGACGACCCAGUGAAGUAGAUGCCUUGACGAUUCCCAUUUCACGGAUGAGACGACUCCGGCACAGAGAAGUCAGAGGGCCUGUCCUGGGUCACACAGCCACAGGCGGCCCCCAGAACGGGACUUCAGGGUGCACCACUGCACCCCAGCAGAGACCUCCGCCUGGCACACAGGGAAUGCUGGAGCAAUACUUAAAUAGGAACAUACAGUGGCAUAAGAGAGACCAACUUGGUGAUAACUGAUCAUAGGAUUAGACCAAGGUGCAGAAGCAAACAGAACCUCCAUAAAAUGUAAUGAUGUCUUGUGCCUGCAAUCCUAGUGCUUUCAGAGGCCAAGGUGGGAAGAUUCCUUGAGCUCAGGAGUUCGAGACCAGCCUGAACAACACAACAAGACCUCGUAUCUAUGAAAAAAUAAAAAUAAUAAAAUUAGCUGCACACCUAUUUGGUGGCACACACCUGUGGUCCCAGGUACUCGGGAGGCUGAGAUGAGAUCAUUUGAGCCCAGGAGAUCAAGGCUGCAAUCAGCUGUGAUCAUGCCACUGCCCUCCAGCCUGGACAACUGAGCGAGACCCUGUCUCCAAAAAAAGUAAAAUUAAAAAAAAAAUUAAAAUGUGAUGGAGUGCAGAGGAAAGGUCAGUUGAUUCUCACUAAGGGUUGGACUUCAUUGGUGAUUUUCUGUCUUUUUAAGAGUUAGAAACUCCUUUUUCAAAUGAAACGUGUAUGGACCUCCAAUGUCUUCAGCCAGGUCAGAGAUGUUUUGUUGGGGACGGGGGCUUCCAGCCCACUGAACACCCCUGUCCUGCCAUAGCCCCAGAGGUACCACCUUGGGCUCUGCCCAGUGCUGCUUCAACACCUCCAGAUGGGAGGAGAGGGACCUUUCCUUCCAGUUCUAACCCCCACAUCAGUCAAGGGAACCCUGUACAAAAUGCUGAGAAAGCCAAAGAAAGUCAGAGUGCAGGCAGCUUCUUGUGACUUACUGCGGGGGCUCCUUGUGUCUCCCCUCCUCCUGCCUGUUAGACUUCUCCUUGCUGGCUGGGCCCACGCGUGGAUGCACGGGUGCGGAGGAUGGGAACCCAGGAUCACUCAGCAACGUGCUUCUUGUCAGCUUCCUGCAAAGGGGAGAAAUCACGCGUCAACCAGAAGCUUUUAAGUGAAAAUCUGAGGACCUCCUACCUUCAUCCACCAGAAUGCUGCAGCUUUCAAAGUACUUUCUAGACAAUGUCAUUCAAGCUUGUGAUAAUCCCACUGGGUGGGAUGAGUGGGAGGUGUUAUUAUUUCACAGAUGAAAUUGAGGUUCGUUGGUGACUGAGCACCUCUUGUCACCUCACUGUCCCAUGUCCACAAUGGAGAUGCAGGAAAGGUGCUUUGAACUUUGGUCAGCACCUAGUAAGCCCUCAGUGCACGUUAGCACUGGUCAUUCGGUAGUGACCCAGGAGCUCAUCACUAGGAAGUGGCGGACUGGGAAGCAGAAUCAGACCUCCAAAUUCCCCCCAGGACCUGUCGCUCACUCUGCUAUUUGAGUGUCCAGCCCAGAAGCAUUUUCGGAUCUCCAAAAUAAAGUCAAAAGUGCUAGCAAUGCUUGGUGAAUUAAUAACAUGUGAUGUUGGCCAGGCACAGCGGCUCACGCCUAUAAUCCCAGCACUUUGGGAGGCCGAGGCGGGUGGAUCACGAAGUAAGGAGAUCGAGACCUUCUUGGCUAACACGGUGAAACCCCGUCUCUACUAAAAAUACA